GAUGAACGCUGGCGGCGUGCCUAAUACAUGCAAGUCGAGCGAACAGAUAAGGAUCUUGCUCCUUUGACGUUAGCGGCGGACGGGUGAGUAACACGUGGAUAACCUACCUAUAAGACUGGGAUAACUUCGGGAAACCGGAUCUAAUACCGGAUAACAUAUUGAACCGCAUGGUUCAAUAGUGAAAGGCGGCUUUGCUGUCACUUAUAGAUGGAUCCGCGCCGUAUUAGCUAGUUGGUAAGGUAACGGCUUACCAAGGCAACGAUACGUAGCCGACCUGAGAGGGUGAUCGGCCACACUGGAACUGAGACACGGUCCAGACUCCUACGGGAGGCAGCAGUAGGGAAUCUUCCGCAAUGGGCGAAAGCCUGACGGAGCAACGCCGCGUGAGUGAUGAAGGUCUUCGGAUCGUAAAACUCUGUUAUCAGGGAAGAACAAAUGUGUAAGUAACUGUGCACAUCUUGACGGUACCUGAUCAGAAAGCCACGGCUAACUACGUG
rnacentral:rRNA from 1 species